GGAUGAAGAGGGGACCUAAGUUUCAUUGCAGAUGAUGGGCAUGGUGCUCUGACAUAAUCUAUUGCUUAACAAAAAUUGAUUUACCAUAAUGAUAAAGGUAUUUCAGGAUGAGAUCAGCAUUUGAAUUGGUGGACUCAGUAACCAGUUUACCCUCCUCAAGAUGGAUAAAUACAACUAAACUAUCACUAACUGAUUCACAGAAAAACUGCUGACUACCAAAGACAAAAUCUGAAAAGUAUUUAGGUAGGAGCGCUUUUCUUUCAGGAGUACAAAGAUAAGACUCCAUUCUUCGCUCUCAACAGAAGCAUUGAAAGGAAAAGGCAAUGGAAUGACGUAUUCAAAGUGCUUCAAGAAAAUAACUGCCAAUUUAGAUUUCUAUACUCAAUGGAAAUUUCCUCCAAAAAAUUGUUGGGGUCAGAUCUACUCUGAAGUAAUAAUAAGGACAACUCUUCAUUACAAGGAAAGAUAAGGGCAACAGAGUUCUCUCUAGACCUCCCAACUUCUCUGGAAGGGAGGUGGCAGAAAGAGGUGGGAGAGGAGCUGCAGUAUACGAAUGGAGAUACAGAGGCUGACUCCACGUCCAUCUAAUGCAGGGUCUCAACGUCAUGACUGGCACUCCUAUUUCUAAGAAAAUUUUAAGCAUGCACCCCCAAAGUACAUCUUUUUAUUCAUUUCUUUCUAGGCAAUGCCUAUCUCCAUGGAACCAUUGGUCCAAAUACUCAAGUUCAACUGGAAUUAUGCUCUAAGGUAUAGACAUAUGUUGUACUCAACCAUCACAAGUGAAGAAAAUGAUAAAUGAUAAAGUUAUGAGACUGAGCUUAGCAUUAAAUGUUUUGGUCUCUGUACCUCCUUGUAAGUGAACAGAAAUGCGUGGGACAAAUGGGUAAAAUUCAUCCUCUCAAAACAGGUAGGGAGCAAGCAUUUAUUUAAAACUCAAUAAUUCCUUUUGUUUCACUUCAGUUUAUAUUUAUUUGUAUUAAAUUUGAAUUAAAUUAGAAUCAAUUGCAAGUGUUUAAAAUAGUAAGUAUAAUAUGACCCAGUAUUAUAAAAAUAUUUCUAUUUACCCAUUCUCUCAAGGUAGCUUUACCUGAACUAUCAGUGAUUAUGAUUUCUGAGUUGUAGGAUUUGGUUUGGUUUUCCUUUGCUGUUUUGUUUGUUUUAACUUUCUGCCUCUACUCUUCUGUAUUACUUAAAAUAUCUU